rnacentral:lncRNA from 1 species
AUUAUUCGAAGAUUGCAAAUUCCAAGUGAAUGAUAAAUGCAUUUCAACAUAUUUAAUUGCAAUCUAAUAUGCUUGUGUAUAAAAGAUACUAAAAAAUCAAAUAAUGAUGUAAAUCACUUGCUUAAAAUAAUUAAAAUUAUUCUUCUCCUCAUUCUCUUGAUCUCAAAUGAAUCACCACUUAAGCUUCGAAGGAAAAUACUGCAAGUAACAAUAGUAAAUAAAAUAAGAACAAACAUUGAAAAAAAAUAAUAAACAUGAAAUAAAAUUAGCCAAAGUUGGAAUCUAACUCUCACCUUUUCAAUGAGUGAUAUAU